rnacentral:lncRNA from 1 species
GGCUGGGUUCCGGUGCUCUUCAUCACCUUUGUGGUCGUCUGGUCCUACUACGCGUACGUGGUGGAGCUGUGCGUGAGUGAGUACGGGAGGCGCGGGCGGCGGGCCGGGCCGCGGGUGGCAGGCCGAGGCCUCGGCGCCGCGUUCUGAUUCCGCGGGGCGGCCUGCGCUUCCCCAGCCCGUGGGUUCCACGUCCGAGGGUUCCGGCCCGCGCUUCUCCGGCGGUGGGGGCCCCUGUCCGUGGGUUUCUGCCCACGGCUCGCUGCUCGAGGGGUCCCGAGUUCGGGCCUGCGCGCCGCCCACGCUCCAAGCUUCCGGGUGGCUGCAGUCGCCUUGGGGCUCCCACCCUUCUGUGACGGAAUGCUCACAAAGGCCUUUCCUUUUGAACUAGAGAACCCCUUCUGAGACGGCUUGUGAGGUCAGUUUGGCUAAAACACACGCACACACGCACAAAGAAAUCUUUUCCUCCCAGAUUGUUGCUCCCCAAACUGCGCGAGAAGAAGCGCGUAAGCUGAAAGCAGCCUGGGGGCCUGGGAGGGAGGUGUGUCUCCCGGGUCUGCAGUGUGGGCUCAGCCCCUGGUCUGAGCUGUAUUUGACCCUUUUUAAUAUUCAUCUGGGGGUCUCAGUGCUGGAUUUACACAAAAUGUUGUUUUGAGGCACAAGGAAUUGAACAAGAGAGGUGCAAGCUCAAUGACUUUUUUUUUUUGCCUGUUUACUUUGUAGGUUUGUAUUGCUUAUACCUUUAGUUUUAGGGCUUUGGUUUAGUUUUACUUUUGCUAUUUUUCUUAUUUAAUUUUUUUUACCGUAUGGUUCUUACCUGAUUUCCUGGGAUAAAGGAAUAGCGUUGCAUUAUACUUACAUGACUUAGCCGAUUGGUUCAUUGUCAUUAACACCCUAGGCCAUUACUAUGUCAGUGAUACUAAAUAAUUGCCUGUAAGCUUUGAGUGUGCGUUCUAUACCUACUGGCUCUUUACUGUGUUCGUCUCCCGUCAGCAUUAUUAAAUAAAACCCUAAGAAAAAGCAGUCCCUUGGUUUCCCAGAAGUGAUGUGGUUUUAAUUUUCAGACAGAGCCCUCGGUUAUCUGAAGGACAGAUUUUCUUUGGGGAAAAACAUACGGGGUAAAUACAAGAAUG